UACGUAGGGGGCAGGCGUUGUCCGGAUUUAUUGGGCGUAAAGAGCGUGUAGGCGGCCAUACAGGUCCGUUGUGAAAACUGGAGGCUUAACCUCCAGACGUCGAUGGAAACCGUAUGGCUAGAGUCCGGAAGAGGAGAGUGGAAUUCCUGGUGUAGCGGUGAAAUGCGCAGAUAUCAGGAGGAACACCGGUGGCGAAGGCGGAUCUCUGGGCCGAUACUGACGCUGAGGAGCGAAAGCGUGGGGAGCGAACAGG
rnacentral:rRNA from 1 species